rnacentral:rRNA from 1 species
GAUGAACGCUGGCGGCGUGCCUAAUACAUGCAAGUCGAACGAAACUUCUUUAUCACCGAGUGCUUGCACUCACCGAUAAAGAGUUGAGUGGCGAACGGGUGAGUAACACGUGGGCAACCUGCCCAAAAGAGGGGGAUAACACUUGGAAACAGGUGCUAAUACCGCAUAACCAUAGUUACCGCAUGGUAACUAUGUAAAAGGUGGCUAUACUACCGCUUUUGGAUGGGCCCGCGGCGCAUUAGCUAGUUGGUAGGGUAAAGGCUACCCAGGCAAUGAUGCGUAGCCGAAUUGAGAGGUUGAUCGGCCACAUUGGGACUGAGACACGGCCCAAACUCCUACGGGAGGCAGCAGUAGGGAAUCUUCCACAAUGGGCGAAAGCCUGAUGGAGCAACGCCGCGUGGGUGAAGAAGGUCUUCGGAUCGUAAAACCCUGUUGUUAGAGAAGAAAGUGCGUGAGAGUAACUGUUCACGUUUCGACGGUAUCUAACCAGAAAGCCACGGCUAACUACGUG